rnacentral:rRNA from 1 species
UACGUAGGGUGCAAGCGUUGUCCGGAAUUAUUGGGCGUAAAGAGCUCGUAGGCGGUCUGUCGCGUCUGCUGUGAAAACUCGGGGCUUAACCCCGGGCCUGCAGUGGGUACGGGCAGACUAGAGUGCGGUAGGGGAGACUGGAAUUCCUGGUGUAGCGGUGAAAUGCGCAGAUAUCAGGAGGAACACCGAUUGCGAAGGCAGCUCACUAAACUGUAACUGACACUGAGGCACGAAAGCGUGGGGAUCAAACAGG